CCUACGGGAGGCAGCAGUGGGGAAUAUUGCACAAUGGGGGAAACCCUGAUGCAGCGACGCCGCGUGAGUGAAGAAGUAAUUCGUUACGUAAAGCUCUAUCAGCAGGGAAGAAACACUGACCUUACGGUCAGCAGACGGUACCUGAGUAAGAAGCCCCGGCUAACUACGUGCCAGCAGCCGCGGUAAUACGUAGGGGGCAAGCGUUAUCCGGAUUUACUGGGUGUAAAGGGAGCGUAGACGGCAAGGCAAGCCUGGAGUGAAAGCCCGGGGCCCAACCCCGGGACUGCUCUGGGAACUGUCCGGCUGGAGUGCGGGAGGGGCAGGCGGAAUGCCUGGUGUAGCGGUGAAAUGCGUAGAUAUCAGGAGGAACACCGGCGGCGAAGGCGGCCUGCUGGACCGCGACUGACGUUGAGGCUCGAAAGCGUGGGGAGCAAACAGGAUUAGAUACCCCGGUAGUC
rnacentral:rRNA from 1 species